AUGAGAUGAUUGCAAAAGUUGCAGAGGCCAACAAUGCUUUAAGCAUUAGACUGAGAAGAUCGCCUACUUAUGAAGAAACAGCUGAGAUGCUGAUGUAAAAGCUUCCACUGUUAGACUUGUUUCUGAAAAUAGCAGAGCCCCGAUUUCACUGGACAGCACGGUGACUGAUCAAGGGCACAUGACACUUCAGGCGAUUAUGGCUGGGCCAGAUGAACUGGUUCCAGAGAAGAUGUUUGAGAGAGAAGCUGGUGAAGCAAGGAGUGGAGAAGCUUCUAGAGACAGUGAACAAGAGGGAGGCAGAGAUAGUGAGAUUAUACUAUGGACUCACUGGUCAGACUCCUCUUUCUUUUGAGGAGAUAGGAAGGAUGCUGAAGUUAUCAAGGGAGAGAGUCAGACAGAUUCAUGGCGUUGCGUUGUCAAAAUUGGAACAUUCUCCUAUUAUCAACAGUUUUAAAUACUUUGCUGAAUAGUAAUAACAUUUGUUAAGAAUGCCAGGAAAAUGAGGUGAAUAUGGUUGAAUGA